UUAUGCAUCACAAGUUUAUGUAGUCACAAUUAACUAUUUUUUGCUGGUGUCCUUGUUUUAUCUGGAUAUGCCGAAUAAACACCCAUUUUACUGAUAAAUGCACCCAUUUAUUAGUAAUCUAACGUUAGUUAUUUAUGAACUAUGAGAGUACCUGGGUUUGACUUUGAUCUUAGAGAACGUUGCAGUGAUACUGAUGUGUUCUGAUAAUUUGAUACUUAAGACAAUUCUCAUCUUAGGCUUACUUUGUUUUAGUUUAGCUUUGAGAGAUGUACAUUUAUUUGCCUUUGUUGGCUUCCCUAUCAUCAAAGAAAUCAUCUGACUCCCUGCCUUACUAAUAAUAGAUUUUACAUUGUGUCAAAUCGAGUUAGUGUCAGUUUACAGCUAACCAGGACCCUGUGACUUAGAUGUUUAUGAUAUUAAAGAUGGAUGAUGUUUUAUUGUUUUCUGCAGUUAGCAGUUGGGGCAUUGAGUUGCACCUGUCCUGAUGGGAUUUAUGAAUGGCUUUUAUAAAAAUUCUGGUGUCAAACUCAAAUUCCUUAAUUAUAGCUGAGGUUUCUGGUGAAGAGACCUCAUUCAUGUACUAACUGAAAUAUACGGAGAAAGGCGGAAAGUCAUUUAGGUUCUAUUUAUCAAUGGUGCUCCUUGUGUCUGUCUUGUGGGUGCAUGACUGAAAUUUAAUUGCCUGGAUUGAGUUCAGCUUUUCCUGUGUUACAUAUCAAGAUUGUAUAUGUCAUAAAUGCAUACAUCCUUUUGUGAUCUCUUCUAAUUGACUAAAGUGCAACUGAAAUUAUUAUGUUAUACAUACUCUUUUCCAAUGGCAUCAUCUCUCCUGUCUUACUUGUGGCUGUAGGCACUAUUUGAUGUUUCAGCUGUUACCAACUUAUCAGUGAAUCUUAUUGGUGUUUGAUUUUUCAGGAACUAUGCUCGUAUUGAUAUAGAGUUGCCAACUACGACCACAAAACCAAACUUGCUAUUGACUUUUCUCAAUGAUUAACGUAUUGGAGAACCUACUUAAAACUUCCCUGGAGACCUCUCAUUUCGAUUGAUGGGAAGACUGUAUGAACUUGACGACAACUUUGCAGUAAGCUUUCCUUCUUUCUUUUUUCUUUUUCGGCUGAAUCUCAUUGUUUGAGUUCAUUAUAGGCUGGCAAGAAAUCAUACUAAUUGGGAGUGUGACCCCUUCUGCAGAUAGUUAGACAUCCUGAAAGUUGGAAUGUUUUGGCUCUAGAAGCAAUUGGCCAGAUUUUUACCCCUAUCUUUGGCAGACCAAGUGACUGAAGAUAAGUUUUGCCUAUAACUCUUGGAAAGGUUUUAUGGCAGCUCAUGGUUAGAGAAAGGAAGGCUGUCCACUUUAUGGAACAGACUCAAAAUAGUCCUUCUGGCUAUUGUCUGCACAUCAUACUCUUCAACACAUGAACCUACAUUUGUACAGUUGACCCUGAAGGGAGGUGUUAUUAGAGAUAAUUGUCUAAAGAUUUAAGUUCAAUGACCUUGUAGACCUACUUGUAAAUUGCUGUGUAUGCAAAGGAUGUGUCGUCUCCCUCAGGUGUAUAGCAUUCACUUUUGGUUUUGUCGAAUUUCACUUUUAUUGAACUUAGUAGAGACAAUGUACUGUGAUGCUUCAAAAUUUGGUUGAGCUGA